AAUGCUGUCAAUACAAGUUUUGUUAGCAUCAAUGAAACUACUUUUCCUUCAGAUGCAAUAACAAUAGAAAUUCAGUAUUCAAAGCUCUGGUAUAUUGCUCCAAAAACCUUUUGGAAUUUUAAAGAUCUCACAAAUUUAAUAAUUGUUGGCAGUAAGUUAAUUGAAAUUCCUGACUUGAGCCGCUGUGAAAAACUUGAAAAACUCGAUUUGUAUGGCAAUGAAAUUCAAGUCUUUUUUCAUAAUUACACACGUUUGCCAAAAAGUCUUGUAGAAAUAAAUCUUAUCAAAAACAAAAUAUACAAGUUUCCGAGAGGCUUCUUUGAUUUACCCAAGCUGAAAUA
rnacentral:lncRNA from 1 species